rnacentral:rRNA from 1 species
UACGUAGGGGGCGAGCGUUGUCCGGAUUUAUUGGGCGUAAAGAGCUCGUAGGCGGUUCAACAAGUCGGUCGUGAAAGUUCAGGGCUCAACCCUGAAAUGUCGAUCGAUACUGUUGUGACUAGGAUACGGUAGAGGUGAGUGGAAUUCCGAGUGUAGCGGUGAAAUGCGUAGAUAUUCGGAGGAACACCAAUUGCGAAGGCAGCUCACUGGGCCGCUAUCGACGCUGAGGAGCGAAAGCUAGGGGAGCAAACAGGAUUAGAUACCCUGGUAGUCCUAGCUGUAAACGAUGGAUACUAGACGUAGGAACUGGAUUGACGGUUUCUGUGUCGUAGCUAACGCGUUAAGUAUCCCGCCUGGGGAGUACGGUCGCAAGACUAAAACUCAAAGGAAUUGACGGGACCCCGCACAAGCGGCGGAGCAUGCGGCUUAAUUCGAUGAUACCCGUAGAACCUUACCUGGACUUGACAUAUAGGGUCUAGCUAUAGAGAUAUAGUGUGCAUUAGCGCCCUAUACAGGUGGUGCAUGGCUGUCGUCAGCUCGUGUCGUGAGAUGUUGGGUUAAGUCCCGCAACGAGCGCGACCCCUAUCCUAUGUUGCCAGCAUUUAGUUGGGGACUCAUAGGAGACUGCCGGUGAUAAACCGGAGGAAGGUGGGGACGACGUCAAGUCAUCAUGCCCCUUAUGUCCAGGGCUGCACGCAUGCUACAAUGGCAAGUACAACGAGUCGCAAUACCGCGAGGUGGAGCAAAUCUCCUAAAGCUUGUCUCAGUUCGGAUAGGAGUCUGCAACUCGACUCCUUGAAGUUGGGGUCGCUAGUAAUCGCAAAUCAGCAAAGUUGCGGUGAAUACGUUCUCGGGGUU